AGCGAUGGAUUAAGAGCUUGCUCUUAUGAAGUUAGCGGCGGACGGGUGAGUAACACGUGGGUAACCUGCCCAUAAGACUGGGAUAACUCCGGGAAACCGGGGCUAAUACCGGAUAACAUUUUGAACCGCAUGGUUCGAAAUUGAAAGGCGGCUUCGGCUGUCACUUAUGGAUGGACCCGCGUCGCAUUACCUAGUUGGUGAGGUAACGGCUCACCAAGGCAACGAUGCGUAGCCGACCUGAGAGGGUGAUCGGCCACACUGGGACUGAGACACGGCCCAGACUCCUACGGGAGGCAGCAGUAGGGAAUCUUCCGCAAUGGACGAAAGUCUGACGGAGCAACGCCGCGUGAGUGAUGAAGGCUUUCGGGUCGUAAAACUCUGUUGUUAGGGAAGAACAAGUGCUAGUUGAAUAAGCUGGCACCUUGACGGUACCUAACCAGAAAGCCACGGCUAACUACGUGCCAGCAGCCGCGGUAAUACGUAGGUGGCAAGCGUUAUCCGGAAUUAUUGGGCGUAAAGCGCGCGCAGGUGGUUUCUUAAGUCUGAUGUGAAAGCCCACGGCUCAACCGUGGAGGGUCAUUGGAAACUGGGAGACUUGAGUGCAGAAGAGGAAAGUGUAAUUCCAUGUGUAGCGGUGAAAUGCGUAGAGAUAUGGAGGAACACCAGUGGCGAAGGCGAC
rnacentral:rRNA from 1 species